UGCGGAUUUCUUGGGGACUUGUU
rnacentral:miRNA from 10 species